rnacentral:tRNA from 9 species
CCGGAAUAGCUCAGUCGGUAGAGCAGAGGACUGAAAAUC